CGCCAACUGAAUGGACACGCCGACGCGCACGCUGUUUGUUUAUUUCGGAGAACAUGCAAAUGGGGUUAUCCCGAGAGGCUGCACUUACCGAUUGCCACUCUCCCUUGCUCCACCGGUACGGAGAGGGGCAGUCAGUGACCCGGCAGGUCUGGCUGGAGGCCGGACGGGAGGAUGGGGGGCAUUCAGUCUCCUCCGGGCUGCGCCGGUUUCCAACCUCACAGAAAACUUCCCGCUCUUGUAUUCCAUUGCCACAUGACGCUGAGCACUGAAACGGAACAGGACAGAAGCUGCACACAACAGAAAUACAUCUGGAGGAAAAUCCCAACAUGUUAGAGGACUGUGUGUGUGCGUGUGUGGAUCAGUAAACACAUCCAGAUGUCCAUACCCUCCUGAGCCUCACAGAGCGAGAGGUAAGAAAUCACCUUGUUAAAUUAGUUGCAUGUUAACCAUUAAAAGCCCCAAGCAUCCCAUCUCUUUAUGCUACCUAUCCUCUCUAUAUUUCAACAAUGUGUAUUCAUUUAAUUGUCAAAACAAGAAAAACUAAAUGUGAUUUCUGAAAAAGCUUUCAUUGGAUUUCUUUCAUAUUAGGUUCACCUGCUUGAAGAAGGAAUAUUUCCAGUCUGAAAUGCCAUAAUUGUAGUAUUUAAAGGUAGACUCAGCUAAAUGACGUUGCCACGAGCAGCACCGGAGAUAUUGAGAUGAGCGAGAUGCAACCCUUCACUAUCACACAGUCACACACAGUAUCUGGACAAGUGCAUGGGUUCGCUUCACGCUGUUCACAGCGUGGUAGCCAGGGCAUCAAAACAGGGGAGAAGUUUAGCCUCACGCAUCAACGCUCUUAGUUGUUGUGGAAAUGUACCCACAAAGGUGUUUAUUUUCUGCAUCUACAUCAUAUUGCUGAGUCUAUCUUUAAGACUAUAUUACGAAUGACUAAUGAUUUCUCGAACGUCAUAUUUCAUAAUCACAUUCAAAAUAAAGCUGAUUGUUUAUGAAGGAACUACUCGCAAUGGCUUAAAGGCAAAUACCACUCAAUAACAGUCAAAAUACAGAAUGUGUCACAGUAUGAUGCGUUUUGCAUGACACUUUCUGUAUUUUGAAAGUUCUAUAUCUUCAAAAGUUGAUUGCUUACAUGUAAAACAUUUACAUGUAAGAUAGUGUUUGAGCGGUGUUUUCCUUCAACCACUGGGUACAUGCGUAGGAUGUCAGGUGUUAGGUAACAUGUGGAGUGUUAUUUUUAGUUUUUCUUUAUCUGCCAAUUUUGGAUGUAAUUUUGUUUUGUGUGCAUUUCUACAUUAUGUAAAAUGGUCCAUGGCUACCAUAGAGUGUCUGUUAAAUAAUUAUGGUACAGUACAUUCAGUGAAAUCAGCUGUUACCUGGUUAUAUUAAUACGAUUGUUAGGGAGAUGUAUGCAAUAGAGCUGUUUGAGAUAGACAACAAGUCCUCUGAGGUAUGGAGGGCAGAUGUGUAUCUCUUCUGGGGCCCUGAUCAGUGUAGAGAGAGGAAGAGAAAGAGACAGAGAGGAAUAGAGGGGGAAAGAGCACCAGGCUCUCCAGCUGGGGAGGUGCGUGUUGGGAAUGUGUCUGGCCUGCUGUGGUAAGUGGAUUGUCUCUCAGGCCAACCUGGACUCAGGGGUAGCCAUAACAUAGUAAACGAAAAUCCGUGACUAGUAUUUUUUAAACAUUUUUAAAUGUAACCUUUAUUUAACUAGGCAAGUCAGUUAAGAACAAAUUCUUAUUUACAAUGACGGCCUACCACGGCCAAAUCCUAACCCGAGACGACGCUGGGCCAAUUGUGCGCCGCCCUAUGGGACUCCCAAUCACGGCCGGUUGUGAUACAGCCUGGAAUCUAACCGGGGUCUGUAGUGAUGCCUCUAGCACUGAGAUGCAUGUCACCCGGGAGCCCAAAGACAGAAGACAGAAGGUUACUUAAUGCAAAAACAAAAGUAGUGUGGUUGGUCGGGGUGGAUGGGUCGACAUAUAACGCAAACGUCUAGCAACCCAAAGGUUGCAUGUUCGAAUCUCAUCACGGAAAACGUUUGCAUUUUAGCUAAUAAGCAACUUUGCAACUACUACUUAGCAUGUUAGCUAACCCUUCCCCUAACACUAACCUUAACCCUUUAACCUAACUCCUAACCUUAACCUCUAACCCCUAGCCUAGCUAACGUUAGCCACCUAGCUUUUAUUUAUUUAUUUUACAUCCACAAAAUAAUACAUACUAUACCAAACGUAACAAAUCAUCAAAAAUAUCUGUCGUUCUGCCCCUGAACAAGGCAGUUAACCCACUGUUCCUAGGCCGCCAUUGUAAAUAAGAAUUUGUUCUUAACUGACUUGCCUAGUUAAAUAAAGGUUAAAUAAAUAAAAUAAAAUAAUGUAACCAUACCAAAUGUAACAUAUCAUACUAAUUUCAGUGUCAUGGAUUUUCAUUUUCUAUGUUACUUCUAGUCUAUGAGACCAGACUGCUCUGGCUGGGUAGAGGAAGAGGAGCCUCUGACACAUGUUUCUAAUUGGGGAGGUAUAGGAUAG